rnacentral:misc_RNA from 1 species
CCUACUCACAGGUCCCAAACAUCACCCUCCAAAACAAUUUACAUGGCUUAAUUUUACCCAUGUCACUCAAUUAUAUCAUAAAAAUUAUUUAAACUAAAUCUAAUAUUAUUUAAAUUUUUAUUUGAGAACUCUAACUAUAAACUGAACUGGAAAUCCCACAUUUGCAUUUUAAUUUGACAUUACUAGCUCAAUUUUUUGCUGAAACUCCCAUGGGAUCUAAUAAGAAAGAGAUUGAGUGGUAUCAAAUUUAAGUUGAAUGAUUUUUGUAAUACAAAUUGAAGUU